UAUGUGAUCGUCUCUCGCAUAUCAAUAAGCGGAGGAAAAGAAACUAACAAGGAUUCCCCUAGUAACGGCGAGUGAAGCGGGAAGAGCUCAAAUUUGAAAUCUUAAAGGGUUUCCCUUUACGAAUUGUAGUUUAAAGAAGUGUUUUCUGUUGAGGUUUUGGUAAAAGUUCUUUGGAAUAGGACAUCAUAGAGGGUGAGAAUCCCGUAUUUGACCUUUACUUUCAACUUUGUGAUACACUUUCAAAGAGUCGGAUUGUUUGGGAAUGCAGUCCAAAAUGGGUGGUAAAUUUCAUCUAAAGCUAAAUAUUGGCGAGAGACCGAUAGCGAACAAGUACCGUGAGGAAAGAUGAAAAGAACUUUGAAAAGAGAGUUAAACAGUACGUGAAAUUGUCAAAAGGGAAGCGUUUGACACUAGUGUUGUUUUUCUGAAAAUCAAUUAAAGAACUGUUUAUGCUAAGUUGUUUAGACUUUAUCAGCUAACUGUUUAGUUUUGAGCUUUUCUUUAAUGCACUUUUCAGUUAACAAGUCAACAUCAAUUUCUUUUGCUGUAAAAAAGCUUGAGGAAGGUGGCUUGAGAUUCGUCUUAAGUGUUUAUAGCCUCUUGCCUAUGCAGUCGGAGAGAUUGAGGUCUGCAGCGUAGAUCCUUCGGGGCUAAAUGCAUUUGUGCUAAGUUAUAGCAUUUUAUAGACAACUUGUUGACUAUGAUUUGUCUUGUAGCUUACUCGCUUAUGUUAUUUUACCUACGCUUAGGAUGUUGACACACGCGCGUGCUC
rnacentral:rRNA from 1 species